rnacentral:rRNA from 1 species
GACAGAGGGUGCAAACGUUGUUCGGAAUUACUGGGCGUAAAGCGUGUGUAGGCGGUCACGUAAGUCGGAUGUGAAAGCCCUGGGCUCAACCCAGGAAGUGCACUCGAUACUGCGUGGCUUGAGUACUGGAGAGGUUGGUGGAAUUCUCGGUGUAGAGGUGAAAUUCGUAGAUAUCGGGAGGAACACCGGUGGCGAAGGCGGCGACCUGGGUAGAUACUGACGCUGAGGUGCGAAAGCGUGGGGAGCAAACAGG